CCUACGGGUGGCAGCAGUGAGGAAUAUUGGACAAUGGACGCAAGUCUGAACCAGCAAUGCCGCGUGCAGGAAGACGGCUCUAUGAGCUGUAAACUGCUUUUGUACGUGGGAAAACGCAGAUACGUGCAUCUGUCUGUAAGUAACGUACGAAUAAAGAUAGGCAAACUUCGCGCCAGCAGCCCCGGCAAUACGGAGGGUUCAAGCGUUAUCCGGAUUGAUUGGGUGUAAAGGGUGCGGAGGCGGUCGGAUAAGUCAGAGGUGAAAGCCCGAGGCUCAACUUCGGAAGUGCAUUUGAUACUGUUCGACUAGAGAGUAGAUGCGGAAAGCGGAAUGUAUGGUGUAGCGGUGAAAUGCUUAGAGAUCAUGCAGAACACCAGUUGCGAAGGCGGCUUUCCAGGCUGCUACUGACGUUGAGGCACGAAAGCGUGGGGAGCAAACAGGAUUAGAUACCCCUGUAGUC
rnacentral:rRNA from 1 species